AACGAACGCUGGCGGAAGGCUUAACACAUGCAAGUCGAACGCAUCGCAAGAUGAGUGGCAGACGGGUGAGUAACGCGUGGGAACAUACCCUUUUCUACGGAAUAGCUCUGGGAAACUGGAAUUAAUCCCGUAUACGCCCUACGGGGGAACGAUUUAUCGGGGGAGUAUUGGCCCGCGCUGGAUUAGCUAGUUGGUGGGGUAAAGGCCUACCAAGGCGACGAUCCAUAGCUGGUCUGAGAGGAUGAUUAGCCACAUUGGGACUGAGACACGGCCCAAUCUCCUACGGUAGGCAGCUGUGGGGAAUAUUGGACAACGGGCCCAAGCCUGAUCCAGCCAUGCCGCGUGAGUGAUUCAGGCCUUAGGGUUGUAAAGCUCUUUCACCGAUGAAGAUAAUGGCGGUAGUCGGAGAAGAAGCCCCGGCUAACUUCGUGCCAGCAGCCGCCGUAAGAC
rnacentral:rRNA from 1 species